rnacentral:tRNA from 1 species
GGGUUGUUAGCUCAGUUGGUAGAGCAGUAGACUCUUAAUCUAUUGGUCGAGGGUUCGAGUCCCUCACAACCCACCA